rnacentral:rRNA from 1 species
UACGGAGGGUGCGAGCGUUAAUCGGUAUUACUGGGCGUAAAGCGCACGCAGGCGGUUUGUUAAGCUAGAUGUGAAAGCCCCGGGCUCAACCUGGGAUGGUCAUUUAGAACUGGCAGACUAGAGUCUUGGAGAGGGGAGUGGAAUUCCAGGUGUAGCGGUGAAAUGCGUAGAUAUCUGGAGGAACAUCAGUGGCGAAGGCGACUCCCUGGCCAAAGACUGACGCUCANGUGCGAAAGUGUGGGUAGCGAACAGC